rfam:Aedes albopictus isolate Foshan contig153050, whole genome shotgun sequence.
CAAACGGUCCUUAUCAGGGCCACCAAAAAUGAUGCCUCAAAAGUUAU